rnacentral:rRNA from 1 species
UACCAGCACCCCGAGUGGUCGGGACGAUUAUUGGGCCUAAAGCAUCCGUAGCCGGUCAUGCAAGUCUUCCGUUAAAUCCAGCCGCUCAACGGUUGGGCUGCGGAGGAUACUACGUGGCUAGGAGGCGGGAGAGGCAAGCGGUACUCAGUGGGUAGGGGUAAAAUCCGUUGAUAUCAAGGGGAACACCGAAUGCGAAGGCAGCACAUUGGCACGUAACUGACACUGAAGCACGAAAGCGUGGGUAGCGAAUGGG